rnacentral:rRNA from 1 species
AGAGUUUGAUCCUGGCUCAGGACGAACGCUGGCGGCGUGCCUAAUACAUGCAAGUCGAGCGAACAGAAAAGGAGCUUGCUCCUUUGACGUUAGCGGCGGACGGGUGAGUAACACGUGGGCAACCUACCCUAUAGUUUGGGAUAACUCCGGGAAACCGGGGCUAAUACCGAAUAAUCUCUUUUGCUUCAUGGUAAAAGACUGAAAGACGGUUUCGGCUGUCGCUAUAGGAUGGGCCCGCGGCGCAUUAGCUAGUUGGUGAGGUAACGGCUCACCAAGGCGACGAUGCGUAGCCGACCUGAGAGGGUGAUCGGCCACACUGGGACUGAGACACGGCCCAGACUCCUACGGGAGGCAGCAGUAGGGAAUCUUCCACAAUGGGCGAAAGCCUGAUGGAGCAACGCCGCGUGAGUGAAGAAGGUUUUCGGAUCGUAAAACUCUGUUGUAAGGGAAGAACAAGUACAGUAGUAACUGGCUGUACCUUGACGGUACCUUAUUAGAAAGCCACGGCUAACUACGUGCCAGCAGCCGCGGUAAUACGUAGGUGGCAAGCGUUGUCCGGAAUUAUUGGGCGUAAAGCGCGCGCAGGCGGUCCUUUAAGUCUGAUGUGAAAGCCCACGGCUCAACCGUGGAGGGUCAUUGGAAACUGGGGGACUUGAGUGCAGAAGAGGAAGUGGAAUUCCAGUGUAGCGGUGAAAUGCGUAGAGAUUUGGAGGAACACAGUGGCGAAGGCGACUUUCUGGUCUGUAACUGACGCUGAGGCGCGAAAGCGUGGGGAGCAAACGGAUUAGAUACCCUGGUAGUCAAGGGCGAAUUCCUUAA